AUAGAUAGGCCCUCCGAUGGCUGCUUGCCGGAGCGGCUAUUAAACCGCCUUGCGCUGCAUUUAGGUAAAACGUUGAUGUGGUGACCGGUAAGGAAAACCGGGGACAUUGAUCCCCAUAGGU
rfam:Cyclobacterium lianum strain CGMCC 1.6102 genome assembly, contig: Ga0070154_112